UUUGAAACGCUAGGGAAAAUU
rnacentral:piRNA from 1 species